rnacentral:rRNA from 1 species
GAAGACGUAAUGUGGACCGAACCAAAGUAGGGAAGCGUGUGAGCCAUGUGCCAAGAAAAGCCGCUAUUGUGAUACACAUACCCGUACCGUAAACCGACACAGGUGGAUGAGGAGAGAAUCCUAAGGCCGACGGAAGAAGCAUUGUUAAGGAACUCGGCAAAAUGACCCCGUAACUUCGGGAGAAGGGGUGCCCUGUGAAAGCAGGGCCGCAGAGAAUAGGCUCAAGCAACUGUUUAGCAAACACAGGUCUAUGCGAAACCGAAAGGUGAGGUAUAUGGGCUGACGCCUGCCCGGUGCUGGAAGGUUAAGAGGAGAAGUCAGGCAACGAAGCUUCGAAUUUAAGCCCCAGUAAACGGCGGCCGUAACAAUAACGGUCCUAAGGUAGCGAAAUUCCUUGUCGGGUAAGUUCCGACCCGCACGAAAGGCGUAAUGAUUUGAGCACUGUCUCGACAAUGCAUCCGGUGAAAUUGAAGUACCAGUGAAGAUGCUGGUUACCUGCGCCAGGACGGAAAGACCCCAUGGAGCUUUACUCCAGCUUGAUACUGGGAUUCGAUACUGUAUGUACAGGAUAGGUGGGAGACGUUGAACAUAGAACGCCAGUUUUAUGUGAGUCGCUGUUGGGAUACCACCCUUGCAGUAUUGGAUUUCUAACCUGCACCCAUGACCUGGGUGGGGGACAAUGUCUGGCGGGGAGUUUGACUGGGGCGGUCGCCUCCGAAAGGGUAUCGGAGGCGCUCAAAGGUUCCCUCAGAAUGGUUGGAAACCAUUCGAAGAGUGCAAAGGCAGAAGGGUGCUUGACUGUGACACCGACGGGUGGAACAGGUACGAAAGUAGGACUUAGUGAUCCGGUGGUAUAAAGUGGGAUUGCCAUCGCUCAACGGAUAAAAGCUACCCUGGAUAACAGGCUUAUCACUCCCAAGAGUUCACAUCGACGGAGUGGUUUGGCACCUCGAUGUCGGCUCAUCGCAUCCUGGGGCUGUAGCAGGUCCCAAGGGUUGGGCUGUUCGCCCAUUAAAGCGGUACGCGAGCUGGGUUCAGAACGUCGUGAGACAGUUCGGUCCCUAUCCGGCGCAGGCGGAGGAUAUUUGAGAGGAGCUGUCCUUAGUACGAGAGGACCGGGAUGGACGGACCACUGGUGUAUCUGUUGGCUAUCAGAGCCAUGGCAGAGUAGCCAAGUCCGGCAGGGAUAAACGCUGAAGGCAUCUAAGCGUGAAGCCCCCCUCAAGAUGAGAUAUCCCUCAGAAAUGAGUAAGACCCCUUGAAGACUACGAGGUAGAUAGGAAUGAGGUGUAAGCACAGCAAUGUGUUCAGCUGACAUUUACUAAUCGGUCGAGGGCUUGAC